rnacentral:misc_RNA from 1 species
AAGUCGUAACAAGGUUUCCGUAGGUGAACCUGCGGAAGGAUCAUUAUUGAAUUCCAAUUGGGUGAGAUUGCUGCUGGCUCUCGGGCAUGUGCACAUCUCAUUCAUUUACCUCUCACCUCUGUGCACUUUUCACAGGACAGCUGGUGGCUGUGGGCUUCAUUGACCAUGGCUGCAGGUUGCCUUGUGUGCUUUAAAAACUCAAAAAUAAGUUCAGAAUGUUCAUUGUGUAUUUACACAUUUAAAUACAACUUUCAGCAACGGAUCUCUUGGCUCUC